UGUGCCAUAGGUGCACUAUCCAGCAUGCUGGAAGAAAUUUUCUUAUUAUUUGCGCCACCUGAGUCAUUAACGUGAAUCACAAACACUUUUGAAGAUAUUACCCAUGGUGGUAAUUAAUGUAUCCGGCCUCGAACGCUACGUGGACUUCUGUUCCUCUCUCACAAAAAGGUAACUGCAUGUCCCAUAAGUGCACUAUCCAGCAUGCUAGAUAAGUAAUUUUCAUGUCUUUUGCGCAAGCAGAGGCAUUAGUAGCAAUCACGGCCACAUUUGAAGAGAAUAUUCAAUGUGGUAGUUAAUGUGUCACGCUUCAAACGCUCCCAGUACUUCUGUUCCUCACCGGGACGAGGCAACUGCGUGUCCCACAAGUGCACUAUCCAGCAUGCUGAAAGUAAUUUUCAUGUCUUUUGCAGAAUCAGAGGCAUUACUCGUAAUCACGACCACAUUUGAACAGAUUAUUCAAUGUGGUAGUUAAUGUGCCACUCUUCAAACGCUGCCAGCACUUCUGUUGCUCACCGGGACGAGCUCUUAAUUCCCGAAGACGAGGGAACUCCCAGUCUAUUUAUAGAGGACAUCAGACUAUGCAAGGAACAGCUGCAAGCUUUGCUGAACAGAGAAUAUGCUGGAGUUAUGAUACGUAGCAGAGUAAAAGUGCUCCAUACAGAAGGAAGGUUUGGCAGCACUGGCAAGAGAAGCGGGAUCCCUGGAGGAGUCCAUCUGGAAAGAAGCGGCAG